rnacentral:rRNA from 1 species
AGUGAAAUCCCUUAGUAACGAAGCUAACGCGUGAAGUUGACCGCCUGGGGAGUACGGUCGCAAGAUUAAAACUCAAAGGAAUUGACGGGGACCCGCACAAGCGGUGGAUGAUGUGGAUUAAUUCGAUGCAACGCGAAAAACCUUACCUACCCUUGACAUGUCCAGAACCCUGAAGAGAUUUGGGGGUGCCCGAAAGGGAAUUGGAACACAGGUGCUGCAUGGCUGUCGUCAGCUCGUGUCGUGAGAUGUUGGGUUAAGUCCCGCAACGAGCGCAACCCUUAUCAUUAGUUGCUACGCAAGGGCACUCUAAUGAGACUGCCGGUGACAAACCGGAGGAAGGUGGGGAUGACGUCAAGUCCUCAUGGCCCUUAUGGGUAGGGCUUCACACGUCAUACAAUGGUCGGUACAGAGGGUUGCCAAGCCGCGAGGUGGAGCCAAUCCCAGAAAGCCGAUCGUAGUCCGGAUUGUUCUCUGCAACUCGAGAGCAUGAAGUCGGAAUCGCUAGUAAUCGCGGAUCAGCAUGUCGCGGUGAAUACGUUCCCGGGUCUUGUACACACCGCCCGUCACACCAUGGGGGUGGAAUCUGGCAGAAGUAGGUAGCCUAACCGCAAGGGGGGCGCUUACCACGCUGGGUUUCAUGACUGGGGUG